UACGUAGGGCGCAAGCGUUGUCCGGAAUUAUUGGGCGUAAAGAGCUCGUAGGCGGCUUGUCACGUCGGGUGUGAAAGCCCCGGGGCUUAACCCCGGGUCUGCAUUCGAUACGGGCUGGCUAGAGUGUGGUAGGGGAGAUCGGAAUUCCUGGUGUAGCGGUGAAAUGCGCAGAUAUCAGGAGGAACACCGGUGGCGAAGGCGGAUCUCUGGGCCAUUACUGACGCUGAGGAGCGAAAGCAUGGGGAGCGAACAGG
rnacentral:rRNA from 1 species